rnacentral:misc_RNA from 1 species
GUGAAUCAUCGAAUCUUUGAACGCAAAUUGCACUCUCUGGUAUUCCAAAGAGUAUACCUGUUUGAGGGUCAGAUUAAAUAAAAAUCGGUGUGGUUGCUGCCUUUCGUGUUGACGCACCGGAGUUGGGUCGUCUUGCUUUCGGUUAUGUGACCUAAAAGUUAGCAUGAUGUUUUUCGAACGUAUUUAAAGGAUUCUA